rnacentral:rRNA from 1 species
CCUUAUGCAUGCAAGUCGAGCGAAGCUUUUCAGUAGUUUACUACAGAAAAUGACUGAGCGGCGAACGGGUGAGUAACGCGUGAGCAAUCUACCUUAGUUACAGGGAUAGCCCGAGGAAACUCGGAUUAAUACCUGAUAUUCUUUAUUUCUCGCAUGAGAAUAAAAGGAAAGGUCAGCCGAACUAAGAUGAGCUCGCGUUCUAUCAGCUAGUUGGUGAGGUAAAAGCUUACCAAGGCUACGACGGAUAGCUGGUCUGAGAGGACGAUCAGCCACACUGGGACUGAGACACGGCCCAGACUCCUACGGGAGGCUGCAGCAGGGAAUAUUGUGCAAUGAACGAAAGUUUGACACAGCGACACCGCGUGUGGGAUGACGGAUCUAGGUUUGUAAACCACUUUCAGGAGGGAAGAAAAUGACGGUACCUCCACAAGAAGCCCCGGCCAACUACGUGCCAGCAGCCGCGGUAAUACGUAGGGGGCGAGCGUUGUCCGGAUUUAUUGGGCGUAAAGAGCUCGUAGGCGGUUCAACAAGUCGGUCGUGAAAGUUCAGGGCUCAACCCUGAAAUGUCGAUCGAUACUGCUGUGACUAGGAUACGGUAGAGGUGAGUGGAAUUCCGAGUGUAGCGGUGAAAUGCGUAGAUAUUCGGAGGAACACCAAUUGCGAAGGCAGCUCACUGGACCGCUAUCGACGCUGAGGAGCGAAAGCUAGGGGAGCAAACAGGAUUAGAUACCCUGGUAGUCCUAGCUGUAAACGAUGGAUACUAGACGUAGGAACUGGAUUGACGGUUUCUGUGUCGUAGCUAACGCGUUAAGUAUCCCGCCUGGGGAGUACGGUCGCAAGACUAAAACUCAAAGGAAUUGACGGGACCCCGCACAAGCGGCGGAGCAUGCGGGCUAAUUCGAUGAUACCCGU